rnacentral:rRNA from 1 species
UCUUCAUUGUUAGUCGAAGGCUCUGGAAAGUGCCGCCAUAGCAGGUGAUAGCCCUGUAGACGAAAACAGCGAGGAAGAACUAGGUGUACGACAAGUAGGGCGGGACACGUGAAAUCCUGUCUGAAGAUGGGGGGACCAUCCUCCAAGGCUAAAUACUCGUGAUCGACCGAUAGUGAACCAGUACCGUGAGGGAAAGGCGAAAAGAACCCCGGGAGGGGAGUGAAAUAGAUCCUGAAACCGCAUGCAUACAAACAGUAGGAGCCUCCUUGAGGGGUGACUGCGUACCUUUUGUAUAAUGGGUCAGCGACUUACAUUCAGUGGCAAGCUUAACCGAUUAGGGCAGGCGUAGCGAAAGCGAGUCCGAACAGGGCGAUUCAGUCGCUGGGUGUAGACCCGAAACCAGGUGAUCUAUCCAUGGCCAGGAUGAAGGUGCGGUAACACGUACUGGAGGUCCGAACCCACUAACGUUGAAAAGUUAGGGGAUGAGCUGUGGAUAGGGGUGAAAGGCUAAACAAACCUGGAAAUAGCUGGUUCUCUCCGAAAACUAUUUAGGUAGUGCCUCGUGUAUCACCUUCGGGGGUAGAGCACUGUCAUGGUUGUGGGGUCCAUUGCGGAUUACUACGCCAUAGCAAACUCCGAAUACCGAAGAGUGCAAUCACGGGAGACAGACAUCGGGUGCUAACGUCCGGUGUCAAGAGGGAAACAACCCAGACCGCCAGCUAAGGUCCCCAAAUAUUGCUAAGUGGGAAACGAAGUGGGAAGGCUAAAACAGUCAGGAGGUUGGCUUAGAAGCAGCCAUCCUUUAAAGAAAGCGUAAUAGCUCACUGAUCGAGUCGUCCUGCGCGGAAGAUGUAACGGGGCUAAGCAAUAUACCGAAGCUGCGGAUGCACAUUUAUGUGCAUGGUAGGAGAGCGUUCCGUAAGCCUGCGAAGGUGCAUUGAAAAGUGCGCUGGAGGUAUCGGAAGUGCGAAUGCUGACAUGAGUAGCGAUAAAGGGGGUGAAAGGCCCCCUCGCCGUAAGCCCAAGGUUUCCUACGCAACGUUCAUCGGCGUAGGGUGAGUCGGCCCCUAAGGCGAGGCAGAAAUGCGUAGCUGAUGGGAAGCAGGUUAAUAUUCCUGCACCAUUGUUAAAUGCGAUGGGGGGACGGAUCGCGGAAGGUUGUCCGGGUGUUGGAAGUCCCGGUCCUUGCAUUGGAGAAGGCGCUUAGGCAAAUCCGGGCGCGGAAUUCAAGGGUGCGAGGCCAUUCACUUCGGUGAAGAAGCAACUGGAAGUGGUUCCAAGAAAAGCCUCUAAGCUUCAGUUUAACAAGACCGUACCGCAAACCGACACAGGUGGGCGAGAUGAGUAUUCUAAGGCGCUUGAGAGAACUCGGGAGAAGGAACUCGGCAAAUUGGUACCGUAACUUCGGGAUAAGGUACGCCCCUGUAGCUUGAUGCGCCUGCGCGCAAAGGGUGAAGGGGUUGCAAUAAACUGGUGGCUGCGACUGUUUAAUAAAAACACAGCACUCUGCAAACACGAAAGUGGACGUAUAGGGUGUGACGCCUGCCCGGUGCCGGAAGAUUAAAUGAUGGGGUGCAAGCUCUUGAUUGAAGUCCCGGUAAACGGCGGCCGUAACUAUAACGGUCCUAAGGUAGCGAAAUUCCUUGUCGGGUAAGUUCCGACCUGCACGAAUGGCGUAACGAUGGCCACACUGUCUCCUCCCGAGACUCAGCGAAGUUGAAGUGUUUGUGAUGAUGCAAUCUCCCCGCGGCUAGACGGAAAGACCCCAUGAACCUUUACUGUAGCUUUGCAUUGGACUUUGAACCGAUCUGUGUAGGAUAGGUGGGAGGCUAUGAAGCGUGGACGCCAGUCUGCGUGGAGCCGUCCUUGAAAUACCACCCUGGUUUGUUUGAGGUUCUAACCUUGGUCCGUUAUCCGGACUGGGGACAGUGCAUGGUAGGCAGUUUGACUGGGGCGGUCUCCUCCCAAAGUGUAACGGAGGAGUACGAAGGUACGCUAGGUACGGUCGGAAAUCGUGCUGAUAGUGCAAUGGCAUAAGCGUGCUUAACUGCGAGACCGACAAGUCGAGCAGGUGCGAAAGCAGGUCAUAGUGAUCCGGUGGUUCUGUAUGGAAGGGCCAUCGCUCAACGGAUAAAAGGUACUCUGGGGAUAACAGGCUGAUACCGCCCAAGAGUUCAUAUCGACGGCGGUGUUUGGCACCUCGAUGUCGGCUCAUCUCAUCCUGGGGCUGUAGCCGGUCCCAAGGGUAUGGCUGUUCGCCAUUUAAAGAGGUACGUGAGCUGGGUUUAAAACGUCGUGAGACAGUUUGGUCCCUAUCUGCCGUGGGCGCUGGAUAUUUGAAGGGGGCUGCUCCUAGUACGAGAGGACCGGAGUGGACGAACCUCUGGUGUACCGGUUGUCACGCCAGUGGCAUCGCCGGGUAGCUAUGUUCGGAAGAGAUAACCGCUGAAAGCAUCUAAGCGGGAAACUCGCCUUAAGAUGAGAUAUCCCCGGGGCUUCGAGCCCCUUGAAGGGUCGUUCAAGACCAGGACGUUGAUAGGUCAGGUGUGGAAGCGCAGUAAUGCGUUAAGCUAACUGAUACUAAUUGCCCGUAAGGCUUGAUCC